rnacentral:rRNA from 1 species
UACAGAGGGGGCAAGCGUUGUUCGGAAUUACUGGGCGUAAAGGGCGCGUAGGCGGCCUGCUAAGUCGAACGUGAAAUCCCUGGGCUCAACCCAGGAACUGCGUCCGAUACUGGUUGGCUUGAAUCCGGGAGAGGGAUGCGGAAUUCCAGGUGUAGCGGUGAAAUGCGUAGAUAUCUGGAGGAACACCGGUGGCGAAGGCGGCAUCCUGGACCGGCAUUGACGCUGAGACGCGAAAGCGUGGGGAGCAAACAGG